AAAUAGACAAAAGAAAACUCUGACCCUGUCAGGUUGCUGGAACACUGAGAGGUACCUCCAUCAGAGAUGGGUGACAUCUCCAUCCUGGGAGAUCAGCAGAGGUCAUCAGACAACCGUUGGUCCUAAAUGCUUCACUUAGCUGCCAGAAGGCAGGGGCCUAGAAGGAAUCAUCCCUUCAGAUCCCUUUCAGAUCUGAGAAUCUGAUCCUGACUGACUGAUUCAGAGGGAGAAGAAAACAGAUGGAAUAUUUGCCUGCCUACUCAUUUCUUUCAAAUCUUCAUAAUGGUAAAUAAGCCUCUUGCCAGUCUCACGACUCAGAAAUGCAAGAAUUAAAGGUGACCUCUUUCACGGAAACGCCCACCUUUCUCUACUGUGCCACUCCCUCUGCUCCUCCUGCCUCACUUUACCCUCCCUGCCUCAGACUGACUCCUGGGAAGGGGUAAACGAUGAUCUUUUACAUGGUGGUUCCUUUCCUUGCUGGGUUUCCCUGAGAAGGACAUAACUUUUUUAGCUGAUAAUGUGUUGCCUGCCCUGUUUGAAGAUGUAGAAUUGUGUGCCUGCUGGCCCAGCCCCGAGUCCACUUCAGGUCCUAGACCAGAUUCCACCUCCAAGAGUCCCCUUCCAUGCACACACCACUUCGCUGGAAAGGCAGAAACGGUAAAGAUAAAUGAUCAAGAUCACGGGAUGAUGAGACUGUGUCCCCAUACGAAGGCAACAGGAUGGAGAGUAGUUGCACUAGUUACUUGGGAAAAGAUAUACAAGAAAGGAAUUAGGCUGAUAAAUAUCAAUAUGGGAAAAGAAACCAAGGUGCCAUGUAAUCCUACCCUUUUCCCAUCUCCAUGUGAGGAAAACCAGCCCUUCCUACUCAAUCUCCAGCAAAGUUGAUGCUGCUGAGAAGCUAUCCAGGCCUCUCAGGCACAAAGGAAAUAUUAAGAGUUCAUGUGUUCUCCUCUCCUGCUGAUAACAUUAAUCUAAAGGCUUUUUCCCAGUGCCCUGGGAAGAUCCACAGAAGUUUGCAAAAAUGCUCUGCGGCGUGUUUUCAGUUUACAGCCACACGUGGGGAUGUUGUGCUAGAUGCUGCAGGGAAUUCUGCAGCCAGCAGAUUUCGCUUAUUUGAUGGAGCAUGCUCAUCGUGGACCCGGAGAUGGGGUGCUGCGGCCAAGAGAAGUCGACUCUUCAGCACUCCAUCCAACCAUGGAAGGAUUAGGUGCAUUAGAGACCCCCAAGAGGGGUUGCUAAGGACAGGACUUGAAGCCUCUCUGAUAAAUGUGCCCUGGGAGAAGUUGCAGCAGUGCAUGCAGAAGAUAGGUAUUGGUGCUUUCUCUGCAGUUUCCUCGGAAACUUCCCGCUUUCUGCCUGACAACAAUUGUACAAGUUGUUAGUUUCCAGCCAGCCCUCUUGUCCCUCUCCUCUGGAGCCCACACACAUGGUGCGCUUACUGACGAGCAUGUGUUCUCGCUCUUUUCUGAUUUCCUGAAAACCUCCUGAGGAGAGACCUCUGAAGACUGAAGCCCACAACAUUCUGUCCUCUGGAUGGAGUAUUCAUGGAGCGCCCUGAAAAAAAGGCACCUGAACUGGUUAUCGUGUGCCUUCUGGAAGAAAAGGGGAUGGCAGAAAGCAGCAGUCUCCUGCCACGCUGGAAAAGCCCCCGAACGACCAAAUCGAGUUCUUUAGAGGCCUCUCCCAAGGUGAGCACAGAAACUUCUCCCUGCCUGCUUCACCAGGCACCUGGGGGCAGCUGGAUUUCACAGAGUUAGUGCCUGUGGAAGGUAAGACAUUUGUGUGCUUACGGUGUGUGUGACAUCUGGAUGACCUGGAGUCUUUCCCUCUUCACAGGCCGAUGCCCAGGCGGUGGUCCAGCCUCUCUUCCUAUGUUCAAUCAGAGGAAGUCACUCUAUUCCUACUGUUGUCUGGGAAUUAUGCAGAUGUUUGCAGGUUCCUGGAAGCCCCAG
rnacentral:lncRNA from 1 species